rnacentral:piRNA from 1 species
UGCUCUUCAGUUCCCGUUUCUAACGUCAGUU